AGAGUUUGAUCAUGGCUCAGGAUGAACGCUAGCUACAGGCUUAACACAUGCAAGUCGAGGGGCAGCAUGUUGGUUGCUUGCAACCAACGAUGGCGACCGGCGCACGGGUGAGUAACGCGUAUCCAACCUACCCUUGUCCAUCGGAUAACCCGUCGAAAGGCGGCCUAACACGAUAUGCGGUUCACAGCAGGCAUCUAACGUGAACGAAAUGUAAAGGAGAAGGAUGGGGAUGCGUCUGAUUAGCUUGUUGGCGGGGUAACGGCCACCAAGGCUACGAUCAGUAGGGGUUCUGAGAGGAAGGUCCCCCAUAUUGGAACUGAGACACGGUCCAAACUCCUAGGAGCA
rnacentral:rRNA from 1 species